UGGGAAUAUUGCACAAUGGGCGCAAGCCUGAUGCAGCCAUGCCGCGUGUGUGAAGAAGGCCUUCGGGUUGUAAAGCACUUUCAGCGAGGAGGAAGGCAUCAUACUUAAUACGUGUGGUGAUUGACGUUACUCGCAGAANAAGCACCGGCUAACUCCGUG
rnacentral:rRNA from 1 species